AAGCUAUAAUGGUGAUGGCAAGAGAGUGGUGGAUAAAAAAACAACGGUAUGUCGCAUCUGCAACAUGACAGGGUACACCAGCGGGAAUAAAAAAAAAAAAAAAAAAAACACCAGCGGGAAUAUCUGGGAUAUAUGCGUCAGUACUAUCUGGGAAAAGACGAAAAAAAGGAGAAACAUGCACGCAGCAAACUAUCCCUGCAGCAUUUAGAAACUAUAGCUUACAGGGAAUCCAACCCAAACACCAGACCUGUUGGUUAUUUUAGGAUCUUAUAUUUCUGGUCUGUUAAAGGCAUUCGACAUUUUGCAACGAGCCUUCAGCGCGUGCUGAGUGAGCGAGCGCCUUAGGGGCCGUUCACAUAUCGUGCCUAAAAACGCAUGGAAAACGCUAAGCGCGUCUUUCUCCUCCUUUCCAAAGCGCUUGGGCAGAAGCGCUCAUGAGGCGUCUGUCUUUGCUAAGCAACAAUGACGUGCUCUCUCCAUGAGACGCGGAAAUUUCAGCGAAGGAUAAAUGGAUUUGCAGCUCUAAAAAUCGCUUGCAGUAGCUCUGCUACUAAAUUUAUUUCAAAAUUGCAAUCCAUAUACAACUAUGAUCAGCUGAUCCUUCAUCUUGGCUGAGCUCUCAACGUUGUUACGGGAAAGGAUGAAGCUGAUUGGUUAGUUCUUGUCACAUGACCCGCGGUGCGCUUGCGGCAUUCUGAAAAGUUGAGAUGUUUUUACAUUUUGCUGUAUCUAAAACGUAUCGAACCGAACCGAACCGUGACAUCAGUGUAUCGUAUCGAACCGAACCGUGAAUUUUGUGAACCGUUACACCCCUAAUAUAUAUAUAUAUAUAUAUUUAGUAACACUUUACAAUAAGAUUUCAUUUAUAAACAUUAUGUUAACAUGAACAAUAUUUAUAUAGCAUUCAUUCAUGUCAGUUAAUAUUCCAAACUUAAACAUUAAAACAUUGUUUUAUUGUGAUUUUUUUUCCAAGCACAUUUUACCAAUUCCAAGCCAUAUCAAUCUUAAUAACUACCAUUAUUUUUUAUUUAAUCAUUUAUGAGUGCUAUACAAUAUUCCAGGAAAGCUGGAAGAGAAAAACUCCUUAUAUUCAUGUGCAGAAUUAUUAGGCAUGUUUUCUUUUACAGAUGAAAUGCGCUAAAAAAGAGUUUUAACUCAAACUGUUUUAACUCAAAGUCGAAAAUUAUGAAAUACCCAUGAGAAAUAUCAAACACAAAUGCAAUACAGAAAUAGAUAAGUUAAGACGUGACCAUUGUACAAAAAUGCUGACUGGGUCAUGAGGUCAGAAAAGAAGAAGAAAAAAAAACAGGUCAAGAAGAACUGACAAAAAUAAUUGCAAAAUAAUUAGGAAUUAAUGUGAAGAUUAAUUUUUAGUCAAUUCUGCAAGACAGACUUUCAGGAAAGGAGGUGGAAUAAAAAUGAGCUCCUAAAUCUUAAUCCCGGAUUCUGGAAGAUAUAUUCCUCAAACCAUCGGACAAGAGGAGGUGGUGCUGGUCCUUCACGAGUCACUCUAAUCUGUUCAUUAAGCCUAUAUAUAAAGUCUUAAUAUAUAGUAUUUCACAAUACUUCAUGGUAUUCUAAUUAAAUAAUUUUUUGGAAUCUUAGAUCUCUCAGAACCUGACACAUUGUAAUUCUGAGACUCCAGGAAAGUGGCAGUUCUGUAAAAUGUUGGCGCUGGAGACUAAAUGCUCACUGAUAGUUUCACACCUAAUUCACUUAAAACACACACAAACACACACACACAGUGACAGAGGGACAGAGUGACAUCAGAUGUAUGUUUUUUAAUUUUCUGUCAUCCAUAUAAUGUUGUAUAGUCAUGAAACUAUGCAUAUUUCCUCAGAAUGACUUGUCUUCUAUGUGUACAUUUUUUUGAAGUGUUUAGAAGCUGCACUUU